AUUGAACGCUGGCGGCAUGCCUUACACAUGCAAGUCGAACGGCAGCGCGGACUUCGGUCUGGCGGCGAGUGGCGAACGGGUGAGUAACAUAUCGGAACGUGCCCUGGAGUGGGGGAUAACUAGUCGAAAGACUAGCUAAUACCGCAUACGCCCUGAGGGGGAAAGUGGGGGAUCGCAAGACCUCAUGCUCGUGGAGCGGCCGAUAUCUGAUUAGCUAGUUGGUGGGGUAAAGGCCUACCAAGGCGACGAUCAGUAGCUGGUCUGAGAGGACGACCAGCCACACGGGGACUGAGACACGGCCCAGACUCCUACGGGAGGCAGCAGUGGGGAAUUUUGGACAAUGGGGGCAACCCUGAUCCAGCAAUGCCGCGUGAGUGAAGAAGGCCUUCGGGUUGUAAAGCUCUUUUGUCCGGGAAGAAAUCCCAUCCCUGAAUACGGGGUGGGGAUGACGGUACUGGAAGAAUAAGCACCGGCUAACUACGUGCCAGCCGCCGCCGUAAUAC
rnacentral:rRNA from 1 species